GACGAACGCUGGCGGCGUGCUUAACACAUGCAAGUCGAACGAAGAGCGAUGGAAGCUUGCUUCUAUCAAUCUUAGUGGCGCACGGGUGAGUAACGCGUAAUCAACCUGCCCUUCAGAGGGGGACAACAGUUGGAAACGACUGCUAAUACCGCAUACGAUCUAAUCUCGGCAUCGAGGAUAGAUGAAAGGUGGCCUCUACAUGUAAGCUAUCACUGAAGGAGGGGAUUGCGUCUGAUUAGCUAGUUGGAGGUGUAACGGCCCACCAAGGCGAUGAUCAGUAGCCGGUCUGAGAGGAUGAACGGCCACAUUGGGACUGAGACACGGCCCAGACUCCUACGGGAGGCAGCAGUGGGGAAUCUUCCGCAAUGGACGAAAGUCUGACGGAGCAACGCCGCGUGAGUGAUGACGGCCUUCGGGUUGUAAAGCUCUGUUAAUCGGGACGAAAGGCCUUCUUGCGAAUAGUGAGAAGGAUUGACGGUACCGGAAUAGAAAGCCACGGCUAACUACGUG
rnacentral:rRNA from 1 species